CAGAAAUGAAAAUUGACCCCAUUAUGGUAUACCGUUUGCAAAUGUAGGCAACCCAUGGUAUUCAAAAUGGAGUAUGUGCAGUCGUAUUCAAUAGCCAUUUACUCACAAACCAUGGUCCAAGUUAACAGUUGUUUUUUUGCACUUUUCACACAAAAACUGCACCUUCAUUAAUGAUAUCAUCGUCAUGAUUCAUUUUAUGGUUUUAAAACACUUGUGUUUGUAUUUAGCGUUGUCUCCUGAGAAAGUUACAGCAUUAAAUAUAGGGCUUGCCAAUUAAAUUCUCUGGACUGUCUGCCCGGG